CCCUCGGAGCAGGUACGGGAGGGUUGAGUACGCGUGGGUAACCUGCCCUGUACACACGGAUAACAUACCGAAAGGUAUGCUAAUACGGGAUAACAUACUUUUAUCGCAUGGUAGAAGUAUCAAAGCUCCGGCGGUACAGGAUGGACCCGCGUCUGAUUAGCUAGUUGGUAAGGUAACGGCUUACCAAGGCGACGAUCAGUAGCCGACCUGAGAGGGUGAUCGGCCACAUUGGAACUGAGACACGGUCCAAACUCCUACGGGAGGCAGCAGUGGGGAAUAUUGCACAAUGGGCGAAAGCCUGAUGCAGCAACGCCGCGUGAGCGAUGAAGGCCUUCGGGUCGUAAAGCUCUGUCCUCAAGGAAGAUAAUGACGGUACUUGAGGAGGAAGCCCCGGCUAACUACGUGCCAGCAGCCGCGGUAAUACGUAGGGGGCUAGCGUUAUCCGGAAUUACUGGGCGUAAAGGGUGCGUAGGUGGUUUCUUAAGUCAGAAGUGAAAGGCUACGGCUCAACCGUAGUAAGCUUUUGAAACUAAGAGACUUGAGUGCAGGAGAGGAGAGUAGAAUUCCUAGUGUAGCGGUGAAAUGCGUAGAUAUUAGGAGGAAUACCAGUUGCGAAGGCGGCUCUCUGGACUGUAACUGACACUGAGGCACGAAAGCGUGGGGAGCAAACAGGAUUAGAUACCCUGGUAGUCCACGCCGUAAACGAUGAGUACUAGCUGUCGGGGGUUACCCCCCUCGGUGGCGCAGCUAACGCAUUAAGUACUCCGCCUGGGAAGUACGCUCGCAAGAGUGAAUA
rnacentral:rRNA from 1 species